AACGCGAAGAACCUUACCCAGACUUGACAUACACAGGGAUACACUAGAGAUAGUGUAGUCCGCAAGGACCUGUGAACAGGUGCUGCAUGGCUGUCGUCAGCUCGUGCCGUGAGGUGUUGGGUUAAGUCCCGCAACGAGCGCAACCCUUAUUGCUAGUUGCCAACAGGUGAUGCUGGGAACUCUAGCGAGACUGCCCGGGUUAACCGGGAGGAAGGUGAGGAUGACGUCAAGUCCGCAUGGCCCUUACGUCUGGGGCUACACACGUGCUACAAUGGGAAGAUACAAAGGGUAGCGAAGCCGCGAGGCGGAGCCAAUCUCGAAAACUUCCCCCAGUUCAGAUUGUAGUCUGCAACUCGACUACAUGAAGCCGGAAUUGCUAGUAAUGGCGUGUCAGCAACAGCGCCGUGAAUACGUUCCCGGGCCUUGUACACACCGCUGUA
rnacentral:rRNA from 1 species